GUCUAUGGUCAUACCACCCUAAAUGUGCCUGAUCUUGUCUGAUCUUGGAAGCUAAGCAGGGUGGGGCCUGGUUAGUACAUGGAUGAGAGAAUUGCUUUGUGAUAAGUCAAUUGAGGGUA
rnacentral:rRNA from 1 species